UACUGUGAAAGUGUGGAUGUUAAAAAGUUGCAAACAAAUCUAUAACACACUCUUUAACAUGCAGCUCCAUCCACUGGUAAAUACAGGGCCCUGUUCUGGAGAUCGUAAUGGGCCUCAGCGGUCGGACCCCUGCGAUCAGAUGUUUAUCCAAGAGGAUCAGAAUCCGCUGACAUAGAAACCAUCUGGGCGUCAAGUUCUGCUGAGAGAAAAUAUAGCUGGAACAAGUCCUGGCGAUUCGUUUAUGCAGAGGACUUCUGAUUCGGUGAACUACGUCGAUGCCCAGCGUUUUUAUAAAUACAUUUUUUUGGCCCAUUUUCACCUUAAGGACUAGGCUAAUUUUAUUUUUGCAUUUUCGUUUUUUCCUCCUCGCCUUUUAAAAAUCGGAACCUUUACAUUUUCAUUAACAGACUAGUAUGAGGGCUUGUUUUUUUGUGUGACCAGUUGUCCUUUGUAAUGACAUCACUCAUUUAACCAUGAAAUGUAUGGCGCAACCAAAAAAAAUACUAUUUGGGGAAAUUUGAAAAGAAAACCACAAUUUGACAAAUUUUGGAAGGUUUUGUUUUCAAGCUGUACAAUGUACGGUAAAAAGGAUGUGUUCUUUAUUCUGUGGGUCAAUACGAUUAAAAUGAUACUUUUCUAUUAUUGUUGCACUUAAAAAAAAAAAAAAAUCUCAAACUAGUACGUUUAACCCCUUAAGGACCCAGCCAAUUUUCACUGUAGGACACGGCCAUUUUUUGCACAUCUGACCACUGUCGCUUGAAACAUUAAUAACUCUGGAAUGCUUUUACCUUUCAUUCUGAUUCCGAGAUUGUUUUUUCGUGACAUAUUCUACUUUAUGUUAGUGGUAAAAUUUUGUCGAUACUUUCAUCAUUUCUUGGUGAAAAAUUCCAAAAUUUGAUAAAAAAAUUUUAAAAUUUUUUUUUUUUUUUUUACUUUGAAGCUCUCUGCUUUAUAAGG